CGAGUCGGCAGGGCGGCCGCGUCGGCGGGCCCCGGUCCGCCGCCGAGGAAAGUCCGGACUCCACAGGGCAGGGUGGUUGCUAACGGCAACCCGGGGCGACCCGCGGGACAGUGCCACAGAGAACAGACCGCCCGGACGCCGCGAGGCGGCCGGGUAAGGGUGAAACGGUGGUGUAAGAGACCACCAGCACCCCGGGUGACCGGGGUGGCUAGGUAAACCCCACCCGGAGCAAGGCCAAGAGGGCGCCGCACGCGGCGCCUGCGCAGGCGUUCGAGGGCUGCCCGCCCGAUGCCUGCGGGUAGGCCGCUGGAGCCUGCCGGCAACGGCAGGCCAAGAUGGAUGGCCGCUGCCUGGAAACAGGUACAGGAUCCGGCUUACAAGCCGACUCGUUCG
rnacentral:RNase_P_RNA from 2 species